ACUAACGAUUGUGUCUCUUCAAAGAAUGAAGGCUGAGAAGGCAACAGCAGGUGUUCUUGCUAUUCUGGAUGGUAAUGGGAUUAGCCACAUUUCUGAGACAUUUGAUUCAAGCUCUGAGCAGGAUACUCCUUGUGAAUGCAAAGUGGGUAAUAGGUCCCCUAAAGAAGAAGAGAAUUCUGUCAAUUUGGAAAUGAGAAACAAUGAGGCAGAAGAACUUUCAGGUUCCGACCUUUAUUUUUCUACAGUAACUGCUAGAAGCUUGUCUUGGAAAGGUCGUAAGGAUAGUCCACGUUAUCUUGAAAAAUACAAGGGUCCAUCUCCAAGAAGACGGACUAUUUUUGCUUCUGUUGGUUCUUCUCCAAAACAUCGUCCCGGCAAGUCCUGCUGCCAAAUAAGACGCAGAGAAUCUAGAUCUGUAGCUGAGGAACUCAAAGCCAACCCUGUUAAGGUUGAUGCUCUUGAAGAUGAAGUUGCUACCACUCCUGACAAUUUUCCAAAUUGCCCAGAUGUUGAGCCUGGGAUGUUGGAAGGGAUUGUAAAAUGUGGAGAAGAGAAAACGUUAUUGAAGCACUCACUUUCAAGCUGCUUAGGAAAUGGACAAAACACCACAAGUAGUGAUGGCGUUGAUUAUAAUGUGUAUGGGGGAGACAGAGACCUGGAAAAGGCACUUGAACACCAGGCAAAACUCAUUGACCAAUAUGAAGCAAUGGAAAAAGCUCAAAGAGAGUGGGAAGAGAAAUUCAGAGAAAAUAAUAACAGUACAUCGGAUUCGUGCGAUCCUGGGAACCGUUCAGAUGUCACUGAGGAAGGAUAUGAGAUCAAGGCACCAGCUAAACUCCCUGCUAUGACCGUUGCCUCCCAAACACAAGAGGUGAGGUCAGAAGUUGAAGAUCUCUCCAAAAUUCAGCCCAGUGGCUUUAUACCAUCUUCACAUGUUGAUGUGUCAAGGUUGGAGGAAAGAGAAAACAGUAGCACAUCCGUUUCCAAAUCCUCAACUCAAGACUUUGCAUUCCCCAUGGUCCAGGGAAAGCAAAAUCAAGGGAUCCUUGGAAACAACUAUCAUCUACCAUCGCAGAUCCCCCACAAUGAUUCAGUUUCACAUGGUUCGUAUGAUUCCCCUGGGGGUCAAAACAUGCCCAGCUUUCCAUCAAAUACAAGUAAUAGUCUCAGCAAAAUGAAAGCUUCUGAAGGCGAAAAUGAACUUUAUGCAUUGGUGCCAGCAUCUGAUGGGUUGGGUGGUGUGCUGGAGGCACUUAAAGAAGCAAGGCAAUCACUGCAACAGAGAAUUGACAGAUUGCCGGUAGUUGCUGCAUCUGUUGGAAAAUUUGUCAAACCUUUUGUGCCUACUACAAUGCCUAGGGAUAAAGUACAGAUUCCUGUUGGAUGUGUUGGACUGUUCAGACUACCUACCGAUUUGUCAGUUGAAGGCAAUGCUCGAGCAGAGUUCCUUAGUUCAAGUCCUCGGCUAAGUCUGGGAAACUAUUUUCCCAAUACAGCAGUUCCAACAGCUUCCAGCAAUCAAAUUGUCUCAAGCCCUUACUUGGAGAAUAGGUCAAGCUUGUCCACGGAGGAUCAAGUUUUUGCCAGCCAGUAUGUUGGUGGUGGAUCAAGAAUCCCAACUCAGAAGCCUUAUUUUGAUCCUUACUUGGACACAGGUUUACCUUCUUCAAGUAGAUACGCCUAUCCCAAUUAUCCUAUCAAUACCUCCUAUCCUGACCUGAUGCCACGGAUGCCCGUUGGAGACGCAUUGUCAGCAUCUGUUCCGGGUAGAACCAUUGGAAUGCCUAAUUCAAAUCACUUCUCCUUUAUUGAUGAUGAUAUUAGACCAAACAUGUAUAGGUAGUAGCUUGCCAUUGAAAUUAUGCAAGUUUUCUGAAGUAAGCCUUACCAAGGUUUCAGAAUAGUGAUUUUUUUUUUUUUUUGUAUAAUAUUGGAGGUUACAACCCUUUUAAGAGGGUAUGUAUUUGUAUUAUUUCAUGGGGUGUAUUAUCUGUUGGAAGGUAGGAUUUGCAAAGAAAUGAGAUUGUAAUUGUGUUAAUUUCUGUUUCUUGUUCAAGCUUUUAUUUCCUUUCAUACAAUACAAUCAUAGAGGCACAAUGUAGUCAUGAAGGAUAUUUUUACUUGGAUGCAGUGAGCUUUGUGUUAUAGUUGCCAAGAG
rnacentral:misc_RNA from 1 species